CAUGGUUUCAAUCCUUCGGGAGAGAAAUCAUGGAGGAGAGUGGCGGAAGGGUGAGUAACGCGUGGGCAACCUGCCGUUGAGUUGGGGACAACCUGGCGAAAGCCGGGCUAAUACCGAAUACGGUCUCCUGUCGCCUGACGGGAUGAUUAAAGAUGGGGAUCCUUCGGGACCUGUCGCUUGAUGAGGGGCCCGCGUCCUAUCAGCUUGUUGGUGAGGUAACGGCUCACCAAGGCUUACGGGUAGCUGGUCUGAGAGGAUGGUCAGCCACACUGGGACUGAGACACUGCCCAGACUCCUACGGGAGGCUGCAGUCGAGAAUCAUAGACAAUGCGCGAAAGCGUGAUCUUGCGACGCUGCGUGGAGGAUGACGGCCCUAGGGUUGUAAACUCCUUCAUUCGGGAACAACUUAUUCGGCGCUAAUAUCGUCGGAUCUUGAUAGUACCGAAAGAGGAAGCCACGGCUAACUCUGUGCCAGCAGCCGCGGUAAUACAGAGGUGGCGAGCGUUGUUCGGAUUUACUGGGCGUGAAGGGUGUGUAGGUGGCCUGGUGUGUCGGAUGUGAAAUCCCACCGCUUACCGGUGGAACGGCAUUCGAAACUAUCAGACUAGAGUGCAGGAGAGGAGAGCGGAAUUCUUGGUGUAGCGGUGGAAUGCGUUGAUAUCAAGAAGAACACCGGUGGCGAAGGCGGCUCUCUGGAAUGCUACUGACACUGAUACACGAAAGCUAGGGUAGCAAACAGGAUUAGAUACCCUGGUAGUCCUAGCUGUAAACGGUGUGCACUUGGUGUUGGGAGAUUUGACCCUCCCAGUGCCGGAGCUAACGCGAUAAGUGCACCGCCUGGGGAGUACGGCCGCAAGGCUAAAACUCAAAGAAAUUGACGGGGGCCCGCACAAGCGGAGGAGCAUGUGGCUCAAUUCGAUGCAACGCGAAGAACCUUACCAGGGCUUGACAUGUAGCUGCACGUCCCGUGAAAGCGGGAAAGCUUUCGAAGGUGCUACACAGGUGCUGCAUGGCUGUCGUCAGUUCGUGCCGUGAGGUGUUGGGUUAAGUCCCGCAACGAACGCAACCCUUGUGGUUAGUUGCCACCGCCGGUGAUGAGCCGGCGAGCACUCUAGCCAGACUGCCCGUGCAAGCGGGAGGAAGGUGGGGAUGACGUCAAGUCCGUAUGGCCUUUAUGCCCUGGGCUGCACACGUGCUACAAUGGUCGGCACAAUGGGAAGCAAUACCGCAAGGUGGAGCCAAUCCUCAAAGCCGGCCUCAGUUCGGAUUGGAGUCUGCAACUCGACUCCAUGAAGUUGGAUUCGCUAGUAAUGGCGCAUCAGCUACGGCGCCGUGAAUAUGUUCCCGGGCCUUGUACACACCGCCCGUCACAUCAUGAAAGCUUUCUGCACCCGAAGUCGCUAAUCCAACCCUGAUUUUAUCGGGGAGGGCGGCGCCGAAGGUGUGGGGAGUGAUUGGGAUGAAGUCGAAACAAGGUA
rnacentral:rRNA from 1 species